rnacentral:tRNA from 1 species
GGAGAGGUGCCGGAGUGGUCGAACGGGGCGGUCUCGAAAACCGUUGAUCCCGCGAGGGAUCCGUGGGUUCGAAUCCCACCCUCUCCG